AGAACAUCCAAAGCAGGCUGAGUUGCAUGUUGUUUUGCUCAUACGAUUGUGAACUUUGAAAUGAUAUUAUUUAAUCACUUGACAUAUCCCUUUUUUAUUACAGAGGAUUCGGAGGCCCUUGAAAGUUUUGUACAUUAUUUGUAAAGGAAAAGAGUAAUACUGAUAACCUUUGGGAAUUUAUAAAACAUUGGGGAUAGUUAAGAGUUGCAAG
rnacentral:misc_RNA from 1 species